GACGAACGCUGGCGGCGUGCUUAACACAUGCAAGUCGAACGAAGUGGCGAACGGGUGAGUAAUACGUGGGUAACCUGCCCUCCUUUUUGGGACAAGCCUUGGAAACGGGGGCUAAUACCGAAUAGAGGGGGAUGGGCUCGCGGCCUAUCAGCUUGUUGGUGGGGUGAUGGCCUACCAAGGAGGUGACGGGUAGCCGGCCUGAGAGGGUGGACGGCCACAAUGGGACUGCGGUAGGGCGCAGACGCGUACGGGAGGCAGCGGUGGGAGAUAUUGCACAGUUGGGGGAAGCCUGAUGCGGCGGCGCCGCGUGGGGAAUGACGGCCUUCGGGUUGUAAACUCCUUUCACCAUCGACGCGGUAGAUGGAGAAGAAGCACCGGCUAACUACGUGCCAGCCGCCGCGGUAAUUC
rnacentral:rRNA from 1 species